AGGGUUAGAGGAUAAUAGUUUCUGGUGUGUGGUAGAGAGACAGAUUCUGCUUCCAAUGAAACUAAACUGGUUUGACAGAUAUGCCCUCAUCAGAUAGGAGCUGACAGGACAGACCCUGUGCCAAGAGGACAUGGGGAGAGAGAACAAGGAAGGGAGGGGGAGAGAAAGUUACAUCCCAUAAGGUUUUCUCGUGGGAAAAUGUCGGAAUGGUAUGCUGCUCCACGAGGCCGGCCCGGAACCAGACUGGAAUCCCGUUUUUCUGGAUCCCGUCUCUCUCUGCCCUCCCGGCCAUGGUGUUCCGAUCAGAAUCGUGUCCCGACUCGCAGAGCAGAGGUGUUGAGAAACUCUCUCUCCCACGGGAAGUAUUUUUCUUCUAACCUACGCCUCCCUCUGUCUCUCUUUCUUCCUCUCUCUUGCGCUUUCUCUCCCUAUCUCCUCCCUCUCAUCCUCUCUCUGCCAGAGAACACCAUGUGGCAGAGGGGAACAGCUGCAACACCUUUAUCAGAAAGGAGAACAGGAAAGACACUAAACAGGAACUCUGUCCUUGAGGAAAUAACUGAAGACGAUAAGAAAUGGGUCUCUUGGUCACGACUCCUACCGAAGGUGGCUCCCCUUCCUGUUCGGGUGGCGCUCGGCGGUCGUCGUCGUCACCGGCCUACUAGCUGCCACUGAUCCCUUUUCCCCCUUUCUGUUGAUUGGUUUCACCUGUUUUGUGUUUUAGGCUGAUUAGUCGGGCUAUAAUUACCAGGAGGCCCGCCUGCUCUUUGUGGGGGAUUGUUGUGACCUGUGACCUUUUGACCGAAUGACGUUUCCCAUUUCGUGGGGUUUUGCUGGACUGUUUGAGUCCCCGUGGUUGGGGCAUUUGUUUUGUUGUGUGACCUGUGUGCACGAAUGACGUUUCCCAUUUCGUGGGGUUUUGCUGGACUGUUUGAGUCCCCCGUGGUUGGGGCAUUUGUUUUGUUGUGUGACCUGUGUGCACGAAUGACGUUUCCCAUUUCGUGGGGUUUUGCUGGACUGUUUGAGUCCCCUGUGGUUGGGGCAUUUGUUUUGUUGUGUGACCUGUGUGCACGAAUGACGUUUCCCAUUUCGUGGGGUUUUGCUGGACUGUUUGAGUCCCCCGUGGUUGGGGCAUUUGUUUUGUUGUGUGCCCUGUGUUUUUCGUGGGGGUUGGCUUAUGUUCGUCGUUAGUGCAUUAAAUAGCACUCCCCUGAACUCUCUGCUUCCUGCGCCUGACUUCUCACCCACUACACCCAGAUCGUUACACUCUUCACAGUCCUCAUGUCCAGAACUAAUUCACGGCAGAGUACCAUACAGAGCAAGGAUCUCACAUCCAUCUUCAUCUUCAUCAUACUCAAUUCCAGGUGACUGGACCUUAUGAAGCUGGUUGAGAGAAUGCCAAGACUGUGCAAAGCUGUCAUCAAGGCAAAGGAUGGCUACUUGGAAGAAUCUCAAAUAUAACAUAUAUUUUGAUUUGUUUAACACUUUUUUGGUUACUACAUGAUUCCAUAGUGUUAUUUCAUAGUUUUGAUGUCUUCACUAGUAUUCUACAAUGUAGAACAUAGUCAAAAUAAGGAAUAAACAUGGAAUGAGUAGAUGUGUCCUAACUGUUGACUGGUACUGUACGUGUAAUCAAUUUGGGCAACAUGAUAUCAUCACAUGUCAGUUAUCUUUUUAAUGAAUUUGGGCAACAUGAUAUCAUCACAUGUCAGUUAUCUUUUUAAUGAAUUUGGGCAACAUGAUAUCAUCACAUGUCAGUUAUCUUUUUAAUGAAUUUGGGCAACAUGAUAUCAUCACAUGUCAGUUAUCUUUUUAAUGAAUUUGUUGAAUGAAUGUUGAAGAAACAUGAGCAACGGCAGAGUUUAUUAAAGAGAGCGACAAACUAGCAGGAUAUAUGCACAAAGCCACAAUUAUGCACCUGUCAAUCAUUAUUUACAUCUCUUUGCUGGACAAUUAUAUAUAAAUUAAUUAAUUAACUGAAUCACAAGGUGGAAUGUACAAGAAAUGUAGCUAUGCCAACUGAACAUGUAGUUGAUUACCUCUGAAUGAAUGACUGCACUUGCUUUGGCUCUACCGGUGCCCAGAGAGGACAGAAUUCACAUUGAUGUUUAGAAGUCAUUAUACACACCCACUGCUCUUAGUGAUCCGCCAGCUCUGUCCCCCGCGGUGGGUCAAGAUGUGUGGUUGCUUGCAGUACAACAGAACUACUCCAGUGGUUAUAGGCCUGCACCUGUUUGAAUUUAUUUAAUAAUUGGAGAAUAUGGAGAGUUGAACAAAUUCUGUCUUUAAUAACUUUAAUGAUUCUUUAACAUACUAUAAUGAUGCUUAAUGCCUAAAUACUCAAAUACAUUUGAUUUGGAAUCAANNNNNNNNNNAUUUGGGCAACAUGAUAUCAUCACAUGUCAGUUAUCUUUUUAAUGAAUUUGGGCAACAUGAUAUCAUCACAUGUCAGUUAUCUUUUUAAUGAAUUUGGGCAACAUGAUAUCAUCACAUGUCAGUUAUCUUUUUAAUGAAUUUGGGCAACAUGAUAUCAUCACAUGUCAGUUAUCUUUUUAAUGAAUUUGUUGAAUGAAUGUUGAAGAAACAUGAGCAACGGCAGAGUUUAUUAAAGAGAGCGACAAACUAGCAGGAUAUAUGCACAAAGCCACAAUUAUGCACCUGUCAAUCAUUAUUUACAUCUCUUUGCUGGACAAUUAUAUAUAAAUUAAUUAAUUAACUGAAUCACAAGGUGGAAUGUACAAGAAAUGUAGCUAUGCCAACUGAACAUGUAGUUGAUUACCUCUGAAUGAAUGACUGCACUUGCUUUGGCUCUACCGGUGCCCAGAGAGGACAGAAUUCACAUUGAUGUUUAGAAGUCAUUAUACACACCCACUGCUCUUAGUGAUCCGCCAGCUCUGUCCCCCGCGGUGGGUCAAGAUGUGUGGUUGCUUGCAGUACAACAGAACUACUCCAGUGGUUAUAGGCCUGCACCUGUUUGAAUUUAUUUAAUAAUUGGAGAAUAUGGAGAGUUGAACAAAUUCUGUCUUUAAUAACUUUAAUGAUUCUUUAACAUACUAUAAUGAUGCUUAAUGCCUAAAUACUCAAAUACAUUUGAUUUGGAAUCAACAUGGUGAUGGAGCGUGCUUUUAUUAUGGACUCUGAGAGAGCCUGUUCUUUUCCUCUAGCAAAAAAAAAAGAACUCAAACAAUAUAAUGCUGAUCAAUGUCAACUUUAGAAGUGUUUAAUGACUUUACAAGUGUCUCGUCUGUCUCAGAAGGUAAUG
rnacentral:lncRNA from 13 species